CUUGGAUACAAUGAUGCCAGUUCUCGAGGCAGACAGAUCCCCAUGUAACACUGCUGUGUGGAACUGCUUUCAGUUACAAGUCCUUGAACAGAAAGUGGUGGUACAUGUAACAAACGCAAAACUGAAAGCUUAUAAAAAAUAUGCUAAGGUGAGGAUAUCAAUCCUGCAGGCCUGUAAAGUGUAUGCAUUGGGUCUUGACCGCAAAGAAAAAUCCAUUCUCAACAACCCAGCAUAACAAAUGAUUUAUAGCGAGCUGUAACCAGUAUUCAACGACCUCAAUGCUCUGGGAACUGUAGAAAUGGCGCAUCAACCAUAAUGCUGAGACAGAUUGGUCUACUGUUUGCCAUUCCACUGGUGGCAAAUGCAAAGAGGCUCAUACUUAAAAUAGAUCCUUGUGGCACUUCAUCUUCUUGGGGAUAACACACAGGUACAAAACUGGCUCACCUGAGUGUCUGGCUGCCACAAGGUUGGAUCUACUGCCAAUGUAUGUUCGAGCAGCCAGAGAAACGGAACUUGCUCCACUUAGCAGCUGUGGAGGAAGGCUUGCUUCAAACUCAC